GUGAGGAAUUUUCCGCAAUGGGCGAAAGCCUGACGGAGCAAAGCCGCGUGAAGGAUGAAGGCCUAUGGGUUGUAAACUUCUUUUCUCAGAAAAGAAUUAUGACGGUAUCUGAGGAAUAAGCAUCGGCUAACUCUGUGCCAGCAGCCGCGGUAAGACAGAGGAUGCAAGCGUUAUCCGGAAUGAUUGGGCGUAAAGCGUCUGUAGGUUGUUUAAAAAGUAUUCUGUCAAAGAUUAGGGCUUAACCCUAGAUAGGCAGAAUAAACUUUUAAGCUAGAGUUUGGUAGAGGCAGAGGGAAUUCCCGGUGGAGCGGUGAAAUGCGUAGAUAUCGGGAGGAACACCAAAGGCGAAGGCACUCUGCUGGGCCAAUACUAACACUGAGAGACGAAAGCGAGGGGAGCAAAUGGGAUUAGAUACCCGGGUAGUCC
rnacentral:rRNA from 1 species